AAACCCCAAUAUAAUUAUUUAUAACUUUAAGUUUGCAACUUAAUAUUUUUAUUUAAACUAUAGAGUC
rnacentral:tRNA from 1 species